GACGAACGCUGGCGGCGUGCUUAACACAUGCAAGUCGAGCGGUAAGGCCCUUUCGGGGGUACACGAGCGGCGAACGGGUGAGUAACACGUGGGUGACCUGCCCUCAGCUCUGGGAUAAGCCCGGGAAACUGGGUCUAAUACCGGAUAUGACUUCAUGACGCAUGUUGUGGAGUGGAAAGCCUUGUGCGGCUGAGGAUGGGCCCGCGGCCUAUCAGCUUGUUGGUGGGGUGANGGCCUACCAAGGCGAUGACGGGUAGCCGGCCUGAGAGGGCGACCGGCCACACUGGGACUGAGAUACGGUCCAGACUCCUACGGGAGGCAGCAGUGGGGAAUAUUGGGCAAUGGAGGCAACUCUGACCCAGCCAUGCCGCGUGGGUGACGAAGGUCUUCGGAUUGUAAAGCCCUUUCGGCGGAGACGAUGAUGACGGUAUCCGCAGAAGAAGCCCCGGCUAACUUCGUGCCAGCCGCCGCCGUAAG
rnacentral:rRNA from 1 species